rnacentral:rRNA from 1 species
AACGAACGCUGGCGGCAGGCCUCAAACAUGCAAGUCUAGGGGGUGUAGCAAUACAUCACCGGCGGACGGGUGCGUAACGCGUGGGAAUAUACCUAUCGAUUCGGAACAACUGAGGGAAACUUCAGCUAAUACCGAAUACGUCCUAACGGAGAAAGAUUUAUCGUCGAUAGAUUAGCCCGCGUUCGAUUAGCUAGUUGGUGGGGUAACGGCCCACCAAGGCGACGAUCGAUAGCUGUUCUGAGAGGAAGAUCAGCCACACUGGGACUGAGACACGGCCCAGACUCCUACGGGAGGCAGCAGUUGGGAAUCUUAGGACAAUGGGGGGAAACCCUGAUCCAGCCAUGCCGCGUGAGUGAUGAAGGCCUUCGGUUGUAAAACUCUUUCGCGCACGACGAUAAUGACGGUAGUGCGAGAGAAG